GUACCGUAUGCUCUGUGGCGGGGCGGUGGCUUGCAAACCCAUCGGCGUUAGUUCGAUUCUAACACGGUACU
rnacentral:tRNA from 1 species